AACGAACGCUGGCGGCAUGCCUAACACAUGCAAGUCGAACGAGACCUUCGGGUCUAGUGGCGCACGGGUGCGUAACGCGUGGGAACCUGCCCUUAGGUUCGGAAUAACUCCCCGAAAGGGGUGCUAAUACCGGAUAAUGUCUUCGGACCAAAGAUUUAUCGCCUUUGGAUGGGCCCGCGUUGGAUUAGCUAGUUGGUAGGGUAAAAGCCUACCAAGGCGACGAUCCAUAGCUGGUCUAAGAGGAUGAUCAGCCACACUGGGACUGAGACACGGCCCAGACUCCUACGGGAGGCAGCAGUGGGGAAUAUUGGACAAUGGGCGAAAGCCUGAUCCAGCAAUGCCGCGUGAGUGAUGAAGGCCUUACGGUUGUAAAGCUCUUUUACCCGGGAUGAUAAUGACAGUACCGGGAGAAUAAGCUCCGGCUAACUCCGUG
rnacentral:rRNA from 1 species